AGAGUUUGAUUAUGGCUCAGGAUGAACGCUAGCUACAGGCUUAACACAUGCAAGUCGUGGGGCAGCAUGGGAGAUGCUUGCAUUUCCCGAUGGCGACCGGCGCACGGGUGAGUAACGCGUAUCCAACCUGCCCUUCACUCCGGCACAGCCCGUCGAAAGACGGAUUAAUGCGGGAUGCAGUCAGAAAGAUGCAUAUUAAUUUGACGAAAGGCUUUAUGCCGGUGAGGGAUGGGGAUGCGUCCGAUUAGCUUGACGGCGGGGUAACGGCCCACCGUGGCAACGAUCGGUAGGGGUUCUGAGAGGAAGGUCCCCCACAUUGGAACUGAGACACGGUCCAA
rnacentral:rRNA from 1 species